rnacentral:rRNA from 1 species
UACAGAGGGGGCAAGCGUUGUUCGGAAUUACUGGGCGUAAAGGGCGCGUAGGCGGCCUGCUAAGUCGAACGUGAAAUCCCCGGGCUCAACCCGGGAACUGCGUCCGAUACUGGCAGGCUUGAAUUCGGGAGAGGGAUGCGGAAUUCCAGGUGUAGCGGUGAAAUGCGUAGAGAUGUGGAGGAACACCAGUGGCGAAGGCGGCUUUCUGGUCUGUAACUGACGCUGAGGCGCGAAAGCGUGGGGAGCAAACAGG